AUGCUCGCUUCGUCAGCACAUACACUAAAAUUGGAAUGAUACAGAGAAGAUUAGCAUGGCCCCUGUGCAAGGAUGAUACGCAAAUUCAUGAAGCGUUCCAUAUUUUU
rnacentral:snRNA from 1 species